rnacentral:rRNA from 1 species
AGAGUUUGAUCCUGGCUCAGAACGAACGCUGGCGGCAUGCCUAACACAUGCAAGUCGAACGCUUACCGGGCUUCGGUUCGGUAGGAGUGGCGCACGGGUGAGUAGCGCGUGGGAACCUGCCCUGGAGUGGGGGAUAACCGAGGGAAACUUCGGCUAAUACCGCAUGCGCCCCGGAGCAAUCCGGGGGAAAGAUUUAUCGCUCUAGGAGGGGCCCGCGUCGGAUUAGCUAGUUGGUGGGGUAACGGCCCACCAAGGCACCGAUCCGUAGCUGGUCUGAGAGGAUGAUCAGCCACACUGGGACUGAGACACGGCCCAGACUCCUACGGGAGGCAGCAGUGGGGAAUAUUGGACAAUGGGCGCAAGCCUGAUCCAGCAAUGCCGCGUGAGUGAUGAAGGCCUUAGGGUUGUAAAGCUCUUUCGCCCGCGACGAUGAUGACGGUAGCGGGAGAAGAAGCCCCGGCUAACUUCGUGCCAGCAGCCGCGGUAAUACGAAGGGGGCGAGCGUUGUUCGGAAUCACUGGGCGUAAAGGGCGCGUAGGCGGCCCUCCUAGUCGCGUGUGAAAGCCCCGGGCUCAACCUGGGAACGGCGCGCGAAACGGGGGGGCUGGAGUUCGGGAGAGGAGCGUGGAAUUCCCAGUGUAGAGGUGAAAUUCGUAGAUAUUGGGAAGAACACCGGUGGCGAAGGCGGCGCUCUGGACCGAGACUGACGCUGAGGCGCGAAAGCGUGGGGAGCAAACAGGAUUAGAUACCCCCGUAGUCC